rnacentral:ncRNA from 7 species
UGUGAACCUGCGGAAGGAUCAUUA